CCUCCUCUCUCUCUCUCUCUCUCUCUCUCUCUCUCUCUCUCUCUCUCUCUCUCUCUCUCUCUCUCUCUAUAUAUAUAUAUAUAUAUAUGAGUAGAGCUUCUAUACUAUCGAAAGUAUAGAGGAUCUGAUAUUUUUGACUUUUUGACCCUUAGAUCAACUCUUUUGAUCAUUUCUAAUCUAUCAACCACUUUGAUCAUUUCUAUCCUUUGGAUUAAUACUAUUGCUUUAUGGGGACCACUCAACCCUAGGGGCACUACUCAUGUCAACCCUAAGGGGGACCACAAUCAUUCCAAUUGUACAAUUCUUAAUCUAAUAGUUAAAAAGUCGGAAGUAUCAAAUUCUCUACACUUCCGAUAGCAUAGUAACUAUACACUACAUAUAUACACCUCCAAACAAUGUAUAAAUGCUAAUCUAUGUAUAACCCCAAAUCCUAAAAAUAAUUAAAUAAAAAAUUUAAACUUAUCUCUAGCUAUAUUUUGAAAUUGUGUUUGGAUUAU
rnacentral:lncRNA from 1 species